rnacentral:sRNA from 1 species
CCAGAUCUCUAUCGUUUCCUACGGCAAAGAAAAACCAGCCGUACUGGGUCACGACGCAGCGGCUUAUGCUAAAAACCGCCGUGCCGUUCUAGUUUACUAAGAAAAUCGUAUGAAUAGUAACUUCAGAUGUCAUGUGUU